rnacentral:rRNA from 1 species
GUGAUAAGUUAGCCACCUGGGGAGUACGUUCGCAAGAAUGAAACUCAAAGGAAUUGACGGGGGCCCGCACAAGCGGUGGAUUAUGUGGUUUAAUUCGAUGAUACGCGAGGAACCUUACCAAGGCUUAAAUGGGAAAUGACAGGUUUAGAAAUAGACUUUUCUUCGGACAUUUUUCAAGGUGCUGCAUGGUUGUCGUCAGCUCGUGCCGUGAGGUGUUAGGUUAAGUCCUGCAACGAGCGCAACCCCUGUCACUAGUUGCCAUCAUUAAGUUGGGGACUCUAGUGAGACUGCCUACGCAAGUAGAGAGGAAGGUGGGGAUGACGUCAAAUCAUCACGGCCCUUACGCCUUGGGCCACACACGUAAUACAAUGGCCAGUACAGAGGGCAGCUACACAGCGAUGUGAUGCAAAUCUCGAAAGCUGGUCUCAGUUCGGAUUGGAGUCUGCAACUCGACUCUAUGAAGCUGGAAUCGCUAGUAAUCGCGCAUCAGCCAUGGCGCGGUGAAUACGUUCCCGGGCCUUGUACACACCGCCCGUCAAGCCAUGGAAGUCUGGGGUACCUGAAGUCGGUGACCGUAACAGGAGCUGCCUAGGGUAAAACAGGUAACUAGGGCUAAGUCGUAACAAGGUAGCCGUACCGGAAGGUGCGGCUGGAACAUCUCAUUU